AGCUCCAAUAGCGUAUAUUUUAGUUGUUGCAGUUAAAAAGCUCGUAGUUGAAUUUCUGGUGGGGGAAUGCGGUCUGACCCUUAGGGUUAGCACUUGCACUCUCCGGCCAUCCUUGGGUGGAGCCAUUCUGGCAUUAAGUUGUCGGGGUGGGGAUGCCCAUCGUUUACUGUGAAAAAAUUAGAGUGUUCAAAGCAGACUUAUGUCGUUGAAUAUAUUAGCAUGGAAUAAUAAGAUAGGACAGCAGUGCUAUUUUGUUGGUUUGCGCACCGUUGUAAUGAUGAAUAGGGACAGUUGUGGGUAUUCGUAUUCACUUGUAAGAGGUGAAAUUCUUAGAUUAAGGGAAGACGAACUACUGCGAAAGCAUUUACCAAGGAUGUUUUCA
rnacentral:rRNA from 1 species